rnacentral:pre_miRNA from 1 species
GUUGGGAAGAGGAAGAAAUUGAUUGUCUAAGAGCGGUGGGAAUGGGAACACUAAGGAAAGCCUACAAUAUCUUCUCCACUAUAGGGAUUAAGAUAAUGUUUUUGUGUUUUCCUAAUGCCUCCCAUUCCUAUUGUUGUUAGAUGCUCCUUCCUCUUCAUUUUGACU